rnacentral:rRNA from 1 species
CCCUUAGAUGUUCUGGGCCGCACGCGUGCUACACUGAGUGGAUCAGCGGGUCAGGUUGCGCGAAAGUGUUUCCUAAUCUUUAAAUCCGCUCGUGAUGGGGAUUGACGGUUGCAAUUUUCCGUCAUGAACGAGGAAUACCUUGUAAGCGCGGGUCAUCAUCCCGCGCUGAAUACGUCCCUGCCCUUUGUACACACCGCCCGUCGCUCCUACCGAUUGAGUGGUCCGGUGAGGCUUUGGGAUCUGAGCGGAAAGAGCGUUUCGCUGUUUCUGCCCGGAGAACUCAGUCGAACCUUAUCAUUUAGAGGAAGGAGAAGUCGUAACA